GGUCAAGAGAGGUAAGGGCGCAUGGUGGAUGCCAUAGGCACCUGGAGCCGAAGAAGGACGCGGCAAGCGGCGAAACGCCCCGGGGAGCCGCAAGCAGGCAGAGAUCCGGGGAUUUCCGAAUGGGGGAACCCGCUUGGGGUAAUACCCAAGCAUCCGCUGAUGAAUCCAUAGUCAGCGGAGGGGAACCGGGCGAACUGAAACAUCUAAGUAGCCCGAGGAAAAGAAAGCAAAAGCGAUUCCCUAAGUAGCGGCGAGCGAAAGGGGAGAAGCCCAAACCUACCGCUUAGGCGGUAGGGGUUCGGGCCCACCGAGAGGUGUGUGAGUACUCUAGGCGAACGGACCUGGAAAGGCCGGCCAAAGAGGGUGAAAGCCCCGUAGCCGAAAGGGGAAAGCGCACAGGUGGGUACCAGAGUACCACGGGAUAGGCGACCCUGUGGGAAGGAGGGAGGACCACCUCCUAAGGCUAAAUACUCCAGGUGACCGAUAGCGCAUAGUACCGUGAGGGAAAGGUGAAAAGAACCCCGGGAGGGGAGUGAAAUAGAACCUGAAACCAUGUGCCCACAAGCAGUCAGAGUCCGGCACUCAACCUAGUGUUUACUGGGUGAAUAGAGUAAGAGGGAUAGAAAGAGGUAGAAGUAGUUAAGAGAAGAGUAAGCACUAAGUUGAGUGCCGGAUGAUGGCGUACUUUUUGCAGAACGGGCCGGCGAGUUAUGGUAGCGAGCGAGGUUAAGGGUAGAGAUACCCGGAGCCGAAGCGAAAGCGAGUCCGAAGAGGGCGGGAAGUUCGCUGCCAUAGACCCGAAACCGUGCGACCUACCCAUGGCCAGGGUGAAGCCGGAGUAAGAUCUGGUGGAGGCCCGAACCCGUUGGCCGUGAAAAGCCAUGGGAUGAGCUGUGGGUAGCGGUGAAAUGCCAAUCGAGCACGGAGAUAGCUGGUUCUCCCCGAAAUAGCUUUAGGGCUAGCCUCAGGGUAAAGCCUGUGGAGGUAGAGCGACUGACUGGGCUAGGGGCCGAGAGGCUACCGAACCCUAUCAAACUCCGAAUGCCACAGGCAAGUACCUGGGAGUCAGACCACGAGUGAUAAGAUCCGUGGUCGAGAGGGGAACAGCCCAGACCUCCAGCUAAGGUCCCGAAGGGCAUGUUAAGUGGGAAAGGAAGUGGGACUUCGAAGACAACCGGGAUGUUGGCUUAGAAGCAGCCAUACAUUUAAAGAGUGCGUAACAGCUCACCGGUCGAGAGGUCCUGCGCCGAAAAUGAACGGGGCUCAAACAUGCCACCGAAGCUGGGGCUGCGCGUAAGCGCGGGGUAGGGGAGCGUACUGCGCGGGCAGAAGGCUGAGCGUAAGCGGAGCUGGACUGCGCAGUAGAGAGAAUGCCGGCAUGAGUAGCGAGAGUAAGGUGAGAAACCUUACCGCCGGAAGCCUAAGGAUUCCUGGGGAAGGGUCGUCCACCCAGGGUAAGUCGGGGCCUAAGCCGAGGCCGGAAGGCGUAGGCGAUGGGAAACCGGUAGAGAAUCCGGUACCACCGAGGGCCGCAUGAGGGAAGUGGGGACGCAGCGAGGUAGGCGGAGCGCGCGGUUGGUAGAGCGCGUCCAACCAGACACCGGAGGGCACGUAGGCAAAUCCGCGUGCCGGCAGGGGGCUGGGAAGGGGAGCCGGAAGGCGAAGCCGCUAAGAACGCUGCCAAGAAAAGCCGCUACCGAGGCCUGAGGUGCCCGUACCGCAAACCGACACAGGUAGGCGAGGAGAGAAUCCACAGGCGAGCGGGAGAACCCUCCUUAAGGAACUCGGCAAAAUGACUCCGUAACUUCGGGAGAAGGAGUGCCGAAAGGCCGCAGAGAAGAGGCCCAAGCGACUGUUUACCAAAAACACAGGUCUCUGCUAAGCCGAAAGGCGAAGUAUAGGGGCUGACGCCUGCCCGGUGCUGGAAGGUUAAGGGGAAGGGUGUAGGCUCUGAACCGAAGCCCCAGUGAACGGCGGCCGUAACUAUAACGGUCCUAAGGUAGCGAAAUUCCUUGUCGGGUAAGUUCCGACCUGCACGAAAGGCGUAACGACUUGGGCGCUGUCUCGAGGAGGGGCCCGGCGAAGUUGUAGUGCUCGUGAAGAUGCGAGCUACCCGCGAUUGGACGGAAAGACCCCGUGGAGCUUUACUGUAGCCUGUCACUGGACACUGGUAGUCUCUGUACAGGAUAGGUGGGAGACUGAGAAGGUGGCGCGCCAGCGUCACUGGAGUCGGCGUUGGGAUACCACCCUGAGACUAGUGGGGUUCUAACCUUAAGCCGUGAACCGGCUAAGGGACAAUGGCAGGUGGGCAGUUUGACUGGGGCGGUCGCCUCCUAAAAGGUAACGGAGGCGCCCAAAGGUCCCCUCAGCGCGGACGGGAAUCGCGCGAAGAGUGCAAAGGCAGAAGGGGGCUUGACUGUGAGAGAGACAUCUCGAGCAGGGACGAAAGUCGGGCUUAGUGAUCCGGCGGCAGUGAGUGGGAACGCCGUCGCUCAACGGAUAAAAGCUACCCCGGGGAUAACAGGCUGAUCUCCCCCAAGAGUCCACAUCGACGGGGAGGUUUGGCACCUCGAUGUCGGCUCAUCGCAUCCUGGGGCUGAAGUAGGUCCCAAGGGUUGGGCUGUUCGCCCAUUAAAGCGGUACGUGAGCUGGGUUCAGAACGUCGUGAGACAGUUCGGUCCCUAUCCGUCGCGGGCGCAGGAGACUUGAGGGGAGCCAUCCCUAGUACGAGAGGACCGGGAUGGACGAGCCGAUGGUGUACCAGUUGCACCGCCAGGUGCACAGCUGGGUAGCCAAGCUUGGAAGGGAUAAACGCUGAAAGCAUCUAAGCGUGAAGCCCACCCCAAGAUAAGGUCUCCCACCCGAAAGGGGUAAGGCACCUUGUAGAAGACGAGGUAGAUAGGCCGGGGGUGUAAGAGCGGAAACGCUUUUAGCUGACCGGUACUAAUAAGCCGAGGACUUGACCCU
rfam:Thermoanaerobacter tengcongensis MB4, complete genome.